GACGAACGCUGGCGGCGUGCUUAACACAUGCAAGUCGAACGGAAAGGCCCUGCUUGCAGGGUACUCGAGUGGCGAACGGGUGAGUAACACGUGGGUGAUCUGCCCUGCACUUCGGGAUAAGCCUGGGAAACUGGGUCUAAUACCGGAUAGGAGCCAUUUUUAGUGUGAUGGUUGGAAAGUUUUUUCGGUGUAGGAUGAGCUCGCGGCCUAUCAGCUUGUUGGUGGGGUAAUGGCCUACCAAGGCGGCGACGGGUAGCCGGCCUGAGAGGGUGGACGGCCACAUUGGGACUGAGAUACGGCCCAGACUCCUACGGGGGGCAGCAGGGGGGAAUAUUGCACAAUGGGCGCAAGCCUGAUGCAGCGACGCCGCGUGGGGGAUGACGGCCUUCGGGUUGGAAACUCUUUUCGCUAGGGACGAAGCUUUUUGUGACGGUACCUAGAUAAGAAGCACCGGCUAACUACGUG
rnacentral:rRNA from 1 species